UACUGUCAAGGACCUCCAGCUAAAACCACCAAUAGAGAUGGGAUUUCACCGUAUUAGCCAGGAUGGUCUCGAUCUCCUGACCUCGUGAUCCACCUGCCUCAGCCUCCCAAAGUGCUGGGAUUACAGGCGUGAGCCACCGGAGUCUUUGUAUUCUUAACUAGUUCUCAAAGCCCAGGUUUUGUUAUUUCUCAUAAAGAAACCAAAAUCCUGUGGUUCAGUCCUGGAUUUACACAGCCCAAAUGACAGGAUACUGAAGCAAGCAAGAGAGAGAAGCUGAUCACUCAUCCACUCCAUCAUCACCAUGCUCUUAAAGCUCUCUGUGUUUUUCAUUUCACAUCGUGUAUCAGUAAAAAUGUGGCAAUGACAAGAUACUAUUUCACUUUGUGAUACGAUGUGUUGGAAUAAAAAAAAGGAUGGAAAGUUUAUUGUCCUUCCAAGAAUAACAGACAUUUAUAUUUUGGAAAGAUGAGUUGUCUUUCAAACUUCACCAAGGAAUUAUAAAGAGUUAUGUCAGAACAUGGCAUGUAAAUUGAGGCUGCCAGCAUCUGGUGAGGGUCAUUCCAUGGCCAGAAGCAUCACAUGGUGAGAGCACAAGCACAAAAGAGAAAAUCAGAACAAAUAUAUACUUUUUAUCAGAAAUCCACUUCCACAUAUAUGAGAGUUCUACUUCCUCCACAUACUAUAUAACACCAGAAUGACACAGACUGAGUAAUUUAUAAAGAAAAGAAGUUUAUUUGGCUCAUGGUUCUGAAGGCUGCGAAGUUCAAGGUCCUGGUGGCAUUUUCUGAUGAGGACUUUUGUACCGCAUCAAAACAUGAGGGUAAAAAAUGGCCAAUUGGUGAAAAAAAUAAAAGAAGAAUGGCUAGAACUUCUCCCAAAGAGAAUUUUGUGUUUUGUUUUGUUCAUUGAUUCUCAAGCAACACCUAGAAGGAAAGCUGGAAAUGAAUGAAGAGAAGGAAGAGACGUACAGCUGCACUGGCUUGCCUCUCAGUAAGAUUACAGAUGCUUGCAUGAAUUCAUGACAGAUAAUUAUGUUCUAUAUAUCACACUGACUUUUGUUACAGUGGUACUACCAAGUUCUGGCGAAGAAUGAGGUUGUCAUUGGUAAAUAAUUGUUGAACCAGUUACUACAUUUCCUAGCUCCUCUUACCUCUAUAUGUGUCCAUGAGACUUUUGAUUGUGAAUGGAAGAUGAGAAGAAUUGAUGUGUGCCAUUCUCAGCCAAGGCUUUUUUAAAGAAGAGAGAGAAUGUGUCUCCUCCACGUUUUUGUUUGUUUGUUUGGUUUUGUUCUUACCCAUAUCUUGCACAGAAGCAUUAAAUAACUACAAUGCCCUAGAGAAUGGCAGAUGGGUAAGAUGAAAGGAGCCAGGUCCAGGCAGCACUCCACAGAAUAGGUCUCCCCGAGACACAGAAGAGUGCCACUUGUAUGCAAAGCCAAAAUAAACCUCUAUUGUGUUUGAAUCUUUAUGUGUUUUGAGGCUAUUUUUAGCAGCUUUUGUUACCCUAACUAGUUCAGAAAUCUGCUUGGUAUAGUGAAAGAAAAGCACUGAGAAGCUUAACUACUUCUUGCUGGGUGGCAAAAUUGUAAUUUCUAAUAAAAUUACAAGAUUUGUAUAAGUUCGUGCAUUUUAUGAUUUCUACUCCAAAAUAUUUUGGCUAUUCCUUAAGUAUAAACAUAAUUUUACAUAUUUAUGUAUUUAUUUAUUUAAUGUCAAUCACUCUGUCGCCCAGGCUGGAGUGCACUGGCACUAUCUCAGCUCACUGCAACCUCCGCCUCCUGCGUUCAAGCGAUCCUCCUGCCUCAGCCUCCUGAGUAGCUGGCACUACUGGUGUGCACCACCACACAGGGCUAAUUUUUGAAUUUUUUUGCA
rnacentral:lncRNA from 1 species